CACAACACCCGCGGGCCCGCCGGCUGGAGAAGGAGAAGAAUUAGGACUCCCCCACCCCCACCGGAGCCCCCCUCCCGGCCGGCUCCGGGGUCAGGGGAGGGAGGGAGCGAAGAAGGAGCAGGAACACCCGCCCAAGGCAGCUCCGAACUAUUUGCAGACGAACUGUCAAAGAAGACAGGCCACAGCGCUGGCUCGGCCCUCUGGACUUUGCCACUAACUUUCCUUUGCUGAUCCCCAGCCCUCCCCCUCGAACCCUCUGGCUGGGCUUGAAAUCAGCCCCUUCUUAGUCUCCAGCUCUCUCACCAUGUCUCCGAGCGGCUGGGGCCUGGCGGCAGCAGAACUCGCCUAAGUCGGUUUCCUCCCGGGCGGCCGUCGGUUCACUUCCUGCUUGUCCAACUUUCAGCCCGCCCCCGCCCACCUCGCAUCCCGAGCCGCUCCGGCCACACCUCGCGCAGGUUCCCCAGAGUUCAACAGUCCUGCAUGUACGUCUCUUCAGGAGCCACCAUGUGGGUUGGUGAGCCCUGUCAGAAACAGUCAGACGACUGCCCUAUGGAGCAGGAAAAGGGGCCCAGGGCAAAGGAUUUUUCCACCAACCUGGCUCCAGGCCAGAGAAAAUCCACUCUUCCUGGAUGGUGUUUAUCAAGACAGAAGAACAAUAACAGGGACGUGCAGAAGGGAACAAACAUUCCUGUCCCAUCCCAGAAGAGGUAACAGUUCCAAGAGGGAAAUGUUAGUUUCUCUGACAAAUGCUUUUUUAAAGAGUCUCAUACAUUUUGGACCUCUGGAGCAUUUUGAGACCCUUAAUUUUAAUUUAUAAUGAAACCUUCUUCCAAUUAGAUAAGAUUAUUAUCUUCUGCAGCUCUGAAAUUUGGUGCAUAGUAACAGCCUGCUUUCAGAGAAUGUGGCUCCUGGACUCCUCAGCAUCCUUAGAAAGGCUACAAUGUGGCCAAGAAGAGGGAGAUCAGAACCUUUGAUCUGUACUUGCUGCUGUCUAGUACAGUAGCCUUGGACCACAAGUGGCUGUUGAACAUUUGAAAUGUGGCUAGUCUGAACUCUGAUGAGAUUUAAGAGUAAAUGAAACACACACACGGAUUUCAGGUGUUCCCUUUGUGGUGCAAUGGAAACAAAUCCAACUAGGAACCAUGAGGUUGCGGGUUCAAUCCCUGGCCUUGCUCAGUGGAUUAAGGAUCCGGCAUUACCGUUAGCUGUGGUAUAGGUUGCAGAUGCGGCUCGGAUCCCGCAUUGCUGUGUCCGUGGCACAGACUGGCAGCUGUAUUUCCAAUUAGACCCCUAGGCUGGGAACCUCCAUAUGCCAUGAAUGUGGCCCUAAAAACAAAACAAACAAAAAACCCCCACAGAUUUCAAAGACUUAUUAUGAGAGAAUACCUGUAAAUCUCAGUAAUUUUAUAUGUUAAUGAUAAGUUGAAACAAUGUUUUGGAUAUAUUGAGUUAAAAAUAUAUAUAACUGUUAAAGGGAGUUCCCGUCAUGGCUCAGUGGUUAAUGAAUCUGGCUAGGAACCAUGAGGUUGCAGGUUCGAUCCCUGGCCUCACUCGGUGGGUCAAGGAUCCGGUAUUGCCGUGGGCUGUGGUGUGGGUCGCAGACAUGGCUCAGAUCCUGCGUUGCUGUGGUUCUGA
rnacentral:lncRNA from 1 species